rnacentral:rRNA from 1 species
UCCGUUGGUGAACCAGCGGAGGGAUCAUUACAGAGUUAUCCAACUCCCAAACCCAUGUGAACUUAUCUCUUUGUUGCCUCGGCGCAAGCUACCCGGGACCUCGCGCCCCGGGCGGCCCGCCGGCGGACAAACCAAAACUCUUGUUAUCUUAGUUGAUUAUCUGAGUGUCUUAUUUAAUAAGUCAAAACUUUCAACAACGGAUCUCUUGGUUCUGGCAUCGAUGAAGAACGCAGCGAAAUGCGAUAAGUAAUGUGAAUUGCAGAAUUCAGUGAAUCAUCGAAUCUUUGAACGCACAUUGCGCCCAUUAGUAUUCUAGUGGGCAUGCCUGUUCGAGCGUCAUUUCAACCCCUAAGCACAGCUUAUUGUUGGGAACCUACGGCUUCGUAGUUCCUCAAAGACAUUGGCGGAGUGGCAGUGGUCCUCUGAGCGUAGUAAUCUUUUAUCUCGCUUCUGUUAGGUGCUGCCCCCCCGGCCGUAAAACCCCCAAUUUUUUCUGGUUGACCUCGGAUCAGGUAGGAAUACCCGCUGAACUUAAGCAUAUC